UACGGGGGGAGCAAGCGUUGUUCGGAUUUACUGGGCGUAAAGGCGCGUAGGCGGUCAGCACAAGUCAGUUGUGAAAUCUCCGAGCUUAACUCGGAAAGGUCAACUGAUACUGUGCGACUAGAGUGCGGAAGGGGCAACUGGAAUUCUUGGUGUAGCGGUGAAAUGCGUAGAUAUCAAGAGGAACACCUGCGGCGAAGGCGGGUUGCUGGGCCGACACUGACGCUGAGGCGCGAAAGCUAGGGGAGCGAACGGG
rnacentral:rRNA from 1 species